rnacentral:tRNA from 1 species
AAAUCUUAAGUUAAAAUAAAACUGUUAGCCUUCAAAGUUAAAAAUAUAAAUUUAGAUUUUGA